GCUGGUGUGGCGGAACGGCAUACGCAUCUGACUCAAAAUCAGACGGGGAAACCUUGGGGGUUCAAAUCCCUUCACCAGCA
rnacentral:tRNA from 1 species